rnacentral:rRNA from 1 species
CCCCUAGAUGUUCUGGGCCGCACGCGCGCUACACUGAACAGUUCAACAAGUCUUAACCUUGGCCGAUAGGUCUGGGUAAUCUUUGAACGCUGUUGGUGAUUGGGAUAGACCUUUGCAAUUAUGGGUCUUCAACGAGGAAUUCCUAGUAAACGCAAGUCAUCAGCUUGCAUUGAUUACGUCCCUGCCCUUUGUACACACCGCCCGUCGCACCUACCGAUUGAAUGGUCCGGUGAAAUCUCGGGACGGCGGCUUGGUCGCUUGCGUCCGACUGCUGAAACUUGAUUAAACCAUAUCAUUUAGAGGAAGGUGAAGUCGUAACA